GUGCUCACUUCAACAGCGCACAUACUAACAUUGGAAUGAUACUGAGAUUAGCAUGGCUUCUGCAUGAAAAUGGCAUGCAAAAUUGUGGAAAGGGAAUAACAUUAU
ensembl:snRNA U6 U6 spliceosomal RNA